UCAAAUCAGGGAAGACACGGGGACAUGGACAUCGAAUCCCAUGGAGAGUCAAGUCAGCCUCACUGAGCAAGCAGGGCUUCAGAGGAUGCCACUCAUCCUGACUUGCAAGUGGUCAGACAUCAUGCUGCUGCCUCUAGACAGCACCGGAGUGAGCCGCCUGUGGCCACCGAGGACUGGAAACGAGCCAGUUCACAUGAAGAUGAGCCUUUUCUUUAUUUAAGUCACCUCUACCUCCAACAUGGGGCUCGAACUCAUGACCCCGAGAUCAAGACUCCAAUGCCCUUCCAGCUGAGUCAGCCGGCUGCCUUUAGACCUUGACAUUUAAAUAGCACCCUUGACAUUCAACGUGGGUGCUAUUUCAUACUCAGGCCACUGGAAUCGUCUCCCACAAUUUGGACACCACUUUGUGUCCACAGGGCUCACAGAGGAACAGGCGUCUGAGCACUCAAGUUAAACCAUGUUCUGGUCAUCUGUGAGAGCAUAACACGCUACCCCAAACCGAGGAGGAUAAAACAACAGCCGUUUUGUGUAUGUGGGUCACAUGGGUCAGAGAUCUGGACAGUGCACACAGGGUUGACUUGUCUGUUCCCUCAGUGGGAACAUGUGAAUGCCCCGGGGCUGGAAUCAUCUAGAGGCUUCUUCACAGGCAUCUGGCUAGGUAUGGAGUGGUAGAGGAUUUUUCUUUGUUCUUUGAAGAUGGAAAAUACCAAGCACCUGAAUGCUUCCCCCGAGCUGUUCCAGCUGUUCCGCGAGCCAG